AAUACGUAGGGGGCUAGCGUUGCUCGGAAUCACUGGGCGUAAAGGGCGCGUAGGCGGCGUUUUAAGUCGGGGGUGAAAGCCUGUGGCUCAACCACAGAAUGGCCUUCGAUACUGGGACGCUUGAGUAUGGUAGAGGUUGGUGGAACUGCGAGUGUAGAGGUGAAAUUCGUAGAUAUUCGCAAGAACACCGGUGGCGAAGGCGGCCAACUGGACCAUUACUGACGCUGAGGCGCGAAAGCGUGGGGAGCAAACAG
rnacentral:rRNA from 1 species